rnacentral:rRNA from 1 species
GACGAACGCUGGCGGCGUGCUUAACACAUGCAAGUCGAACGGAAAGGCCCUGCUUGCAGGGUACUCGAGUGGCGAACGGGUGAGUAACACGUGGGUGAUCUGCCCUGCACUUCGGGAUAAGCCUGGGAAACUGGGUCUAAUACCGGAUAGGAGCCAUUUUUAGUGUGAUGGUUGGAAAGUUUUUUCGGUGUAGGAUGAGCUCGCGGCCUAUCAGCUUGUUGGUGGGGUAAUGGCCUACCAAGGCGGCGACGGGUAGCCGGCCUGAGAGGGUGGACGGCCACAUUGGGACUGAGAUACGGCCCAGACUCCUACGGGGGGCAGCAGUGGGGAAUAUUGCACAAUGGGCGCAAGCCUGAUGCAGCGACGCCGCGUGGGGGAUGACGGCCUUCGGGUUGGAAACUCCGUUCGCUAGGGACGAAGCUUUUUGUGACGGUACCUAGAGAAGAAGCACCGGCUAACUACGUG